GUAGCUUGCUUUGCUUUCGUUAGCUCGGCGAUUGAUAUUCUGGAAAUGAUUAAGAAAACAAAAAAGGAAUGAUAAAUCAAUAACAAUGAUCCAAAUUGUUCAUGGAUAUGUAAAAUCGUCGCUACACACACUAGGGACGGAAAGAACGGGCUAGGCAGAUGCCGGAAGUGAGUCACCCGGCUACGGGAAAAUCGAAGUAGAGGUGGUGAACGGGUGAAGGAAGGGAGCCACCGGCGUGCGCAGAGACAGCGAACUGCGAAUCCCUGGCCAUCUGCGCAACCGUUAGCCGCACCAAGCGCAACACAUAUUGAUUCACGUGGGAGGAUAGGACAUAGAAGUAAAAGGAUAGAGUACUGAAAGCGGCUCUGAAAGUAUGCAGCCUGUAGAAGGCACAGAGGGCACAGAGCUUAUAUACUUGGAGCUGCUUGGAGAAUAAAGAUUAUAAGGAUACACGAUCUCUUCGAAUGAAUAGAUUUUGAGAAUCGCCAAGAUCAAAGAAUUUUUAAAUUCUCGGAAAAUACAAGAAACGCUGACUGAAGAUAUAUGAUGACUGAUCGGACUUUUCGUAAUCUAAAAUGGAUGGGAUAAAUUCUUUCUGUAUGAUCUAAGGAUAAAUUCAUCGUCAAGCAGUGCCCUCUGCGUCCUAUGUUGCACGCGUAACUUAAUCCAGCAAGCGGUCGGUACGUAAAGACAAGAACUGAUGUUACCAUCGCUCGCUGCGUGUGCCCAGAUAAUGCAGAGUCGAAUAUUAUUAUGCCUAUGGAAUGUCGAACGGAAACAGACUAAAAUUCUCAUAUAACCCUGUCUGGACGCCGCAUACUUUUCAACUACGCAAAUUCAUUUAGACAAAUUCAGCAAUGUCAAUCUAACUCCAUCGGAUCGAAAAAAAUAAUGUUACCUACAUUGAUGCACAAUAAACAUGCACCAGGUUUACUGUUAACAGAGUUAGAAACCUUUUCUUGAUUUAAUUAAAGGAUGGAGAUACAUACUUGUUCCUAUGUAAUAUGUUCCUUAUGUAAUUGCUGUACAUAUUUUUAUUACUUGACUCGUAUCGUUAACUGAAGACAAUAAUAAUAUGUAUCUUCAGUCAAUGCUCAUCUUCAUUCUGAAAGAAAAUGCAGCUGACAUGUAAAAAUAGUUUCUUAACUGACGUUAGAUUUCCGUGGUCUUUGAAAAUACAGUUUAUUUUCAGUGGAAAACUAAGACCUUUCUACACAAAAAAAUACAUGUAAAUAUUUUUUGGAAAUUAGCUAAGACUCGAUUGUUACUAAUGUUUGAGUCCAUGCUGUAACAAGCCCCGAUAGAUCUCAGGCAAUCGUUAUCACAAAUGUAAUUAAAAUAAAUUUAAAGAUGA